ACAAAGACAUCGAAUAGAAGAGUAGUAGGACCGCUAUUAGACUAGAGAAUUCUGAUCACCGGCUGUAAGUCAGAAAUAAUAUGUGCUAUGAACCACAUCUAGGAGUUGUUAAUUUGAACUUUAGUAGGAUUGACCGGUCGUGCCCGUUACUACACAGACUUAUCGCCAAUGGCUGAUAAGUUACUGAGCCUAUUUUCGUGAGAAGAUAGGGCAUUGAGGUGGUACCGUGCGUUUGCGCCCUCUUG
rnacentral:ncRNA from 1 species